rnacentral:rRNA from 1 species
CAGCCGCCGCGGUAAUACGAAGGGUGCAAGCGUUAAUCGGAAUUACUGGGCGCAAAGCGUGCGUAGGCGGUUUGUUAAGUCUGUUGUGAAAUCCCCGGGCUCAACCUGGGAAUGGCAAUGGAUACUGGCAAGCUAGAGUGUGUCAGAGGAUGGUGGAAUUCCCGGUGUAGCGGUGAAAUGCGUAGAGAUCGGGAGGAACAUCAGUGGCGAAGGCGGCCAUCUGGGACAACACUGACGCUGAGGCACGAAAGCGUGGGGAGCAAACAGGAUUAGAUACCCGCGUAGUCCCUGUCUCUUAUAC